rnacentral:rRNA from 1 species
GUGGGGAAUCUUGCGCAAUGGGCGAAAGCCUGACGCAGCCAUGCCGCGUGAAUGAUGAAGGUCUUAGGAUUGUAAAAUUCUUUCACCGGGGACGAUAAUGACGGUACCCGGAGAAGAAGCCCCGGCUAACUUCGUGCCAGCAGCCGCGGUAAUACGAAGGGGGCUAGCGUUGCUCGGAAUUACUGGGCGUAAAGGGCGCGUAGGCGGACAGUUUAGUCAGAGGUGAAAGCCCAGGGCUCAACCUUGGAAUUGCCUUUGAUACUGGCUGUCUUGAGUACGGGAGAGGUGAGUGGAACUUCGAGUGUAGAGGUGAAAUUCGUAGAUAUUCGGAAGAACACCAGUGGCGAAGGCGACUCACUGGCCCGUUACUGACGCUGAGGCGCGAAAGCGUGGGGAGCAAACAGGAUUAGAAACCCCAGUAGUCC